rnacentral:rRNA from 1 species
GCAUCGAUGAAGAACGCGGCGAAAUGCGAUAAGUAAUGUGAAUCGCAGAAUUCAGUGAAUCAUCGAAUCUUUGAACGCACCUUGCGCUCCAUGGUAUUCCGUGGAGCAUGCCUGUUUGAGUGUCAUGAAUACUUCAACCCUCCUCUUUCUUAAUGAUUGAAGAGGUGUUUGGUUUCUGAGCGCUGCUGGCCUUUACGGUCUAGCUCGUUCGUAAUGCAUUAGCAUCCGCAAUCGAACUUCGGAUUGACUUGGCGUAAUAGACUAUUCGCUGAGGAAUUCUAGUCUUCGGAUUAGAGCCGGGUUGGGUUAAAGGAAGCUUCUAAUCAGAAUGUCUACAUUUUAAGAUUAGAUCUCAAAUCAGGUAGGACUACCCGCUGAACUUAAGCAUAUCAAUAAGCGGAGG